rnacentral:rRNA from 1 species
UCGAGAAUCUUCCGCAAUGGGCGAAAGCCUGACGGAGCGACACCGCGUGCAGGAUGAAGGCCUUCGGGUUGUAAACUGCUGUCACGCCAUAGGAAUGUCUGGUCGUUAAUAGCGGCCAGAUUGACCAAAGCGAGAGGAAGCACCGGCUAACUCCGUGCCAGCAGCCGCGGUAAGACGGAGGGUGCAAACGUUGUUCGGAAUCACUGGGCAUAAAGCGCACGUAGGCGGCCCACUCAGUCAGGUGUGAAAUCCCCCGGCUCAACCGGGGAACGGCAUCUGAUACUGGUGGGCUCGAGGACAGUAGGGGUAAGCGGAACUCCAGGUGGAGCGGUGAAAUGCGUAGAUAUCUGGAGGAACACCGGUGGCGAAAGCGGCUUACUGGGCUGUGUCUGACGCUGAGGUGCGAAAGCUAGGGUAGCAAACGGGAUUAGAUACCCCAGUAGUCCCUGAGCGGGCUGGCAAGGCGCAU